UACCUUCCAUACUCCACUAGUCCCUAUGUCACCCCUAUGUCUGUACUGGCUGUAUUUUUACCUUCCAUACUCCACUAGUCCCUAUGUCACCCCUAUGUAUGUACUGGCUGUAUUUUUACCUUCCAUACUCCACUAGUCCCUAUGUCACCCCUAUGUAUGUACUGGCUGUAUUUUUACCUUCCAUACUCCACUAGUCCCUAUGUCACCCCUAUGUAUGUACUGGCUGUAUUUUUACCUUCCAUACUCCACUAGUCCCUAUGUCACCCCUAUGUCUGUACUGGCUGUAUUUUUACCUUCCAUACUCCACUAAUCCCUAUGUCACCCCUAUGUAUGUACUGGCUGUAUUUUUACCUUCCAUACUCCACUAGUCCCUAUGUCACCCCUAUGUCUGUACUGGCUGUAUUUUUACCUUCCAUACUCCACUAAUCCCUAUGUCACCCCUAUGUCUGUACUGGCUGUAUUUUUACCUUCCACAACUUUUUUUUAAACUGAAGGACUUUAUAGAAUGCCAUGGAUCAUUGGCUGGUUUUUAUCUUGAUCCGUGAUUGGCUGGUUUUUAUCUGGAUCUGUAAUUGGAUGAUUAUUGACUACACAAAACACAUUUUAACUGGAAAACAAAUGUGUUUAUACAAGUGUCGAUGAAGGAGAGGAGACGGGUUAAAGAAGGAUUUUUAAGCCUUGAGACAAUUGAGACAUGGAUUGUGUAUGUGUGCCAUUCAGAGGGUGAAAGAGCAAGACAAAAUAUUUAAGUGCCUUUGAACUGGGGUGUGGUAGUAGGUGCCAAGCGCACCGAUUUGUGUCAAGAACUGCAAAGCUGCUGGGUUUUUCACACUCAACAGUUUCCCGUGUGUAUCAAGAAUGGUCCACCACCCAAAGGACAUCCAGCCAACUUGACACAACUGUGGGAAGCAUUGGAGUCAACAUGGACCAGCAUUCCCUGUGGAACGCUUUUGACACCUUGUAGAGUCCAUGACCCGACACAUUGAGGCUGUCCUUGAGGGCACAUUGAGGCUGGAGAUAUCCCACUAUGGAGAUAUCCCACUAUGGAGAUAUCCCACUAUGGAGAUAUCCCACUAUGUAAACGGUGAAGGAUGUAACCCUUGAACCAGGAAGUGAUACGUCUGUAGUGAGUGUGUGAUAGACUAACACAAUGCGCUGUAAACUGAUGAAAAUUAGAUUUUUUAUUUGAAUUUUUGAAUUUUUUGGUGUCAUUUCUUGUUAAGACAAUUACUGUGGUUGAAUGUAGGAAUAUUGUGUGGUGGGCUGUUCUGAUGUAGGCCUUGUGAAAUCUCUGUUUUUACAUUUGAUUGGCAUGUCAGGGGAUGGAGGGGAGAGAGGGGGCCUGGGUUAAGGGGGAGAGAGGGAGAGGGGGCCUGGGUUAAGGGGAAGAGAGGGAGAGAGGGAGAGGGGGCCUGGGUUGAGGGGAAAAGAGGAGAGAGGGAGAGGGGGCCUGGGUUGAGGGGAAAAGAGAGAGGGAGAGGGGGCCUGGGUUGAGGGGAAAAGAGGAGAGGGGCCCUGGGUUAAGGGAAGAGAGGGAGGGAGAGAGGGCCUGGGUUAAGGGGAAAAGAGGAGGGAGGGAGAGAGGGCCUGGGUUGAGAGGGGGGGGGGAAAGUGUACGGGAUGGAGAAAGGGGCCUUGAAAUCCUCUGGGCCAUCAAGACAUAGCUCUCAACCUAAAGCUUCUGACAUAUUGUAAUAGUGAGUUCUAUAACACAAACCUUUAAAUGAAAGUGGUCUUCAGUGGAACUCAGAUAUCCAUCCCCACUCCUCUUCCUGUACUGCUGACUGGCAGCCAUUUUAAUGACCUCCAUUUUCUGGUCGAGCGAGGACAACUCUCCCUACCCUUCGGACAGCUGUGGUUCCGUCUCUGUGAAUGUUUGUGUAAUAUUUGCUGUUAACAAAUGAAGGAUAUUUUUUAUAAAAAGGGAGAGACUGGUGUUGUGUUGUCUGUUUUUUUUUUUUUUUCUCAGUGUAUUGCAGAUGCUAACGUUUAAUAUAGUCGUAUAUAACGGGUUAAUGGUAAUAUCGCUAAGCCUGGGUUCCAUGGAAGGGAACAGUUCCCUGUUUCAUUCCACCAUUGUGAUUCUGCUGGUUUCUGCUGGUUUCUGCUGGUUUCUACUGGUUUCUACUGGUUUCUACUGGUCUCUACUGGUCUCUACUGGUCUCUGCUGGUUUCUGCUGGUUUCUGCUGGUUUCUGCUGGUUUCUACUGGUUUCUGCUGGUUUCUACUGGUCUCUACUGGUCUCUACUGGUCUCUGCUGGUUUCUACUGGUUUCUACUGGAUGUACACCUGUACAUUUAGCUGACACUGCAGUGUUGCACUAUUUCAUUAUCUACAAAGUAGAUUAUUAUACAUUUGAUAAUCAAAUUUAUUUCUGUAAUAAAAAAACACAACAAAAAAGAAACAUCUGAAUAUCUAUGUGUGGACAUUGUAAAGCGUUUGUGGACGGUAAAAGCGUUUGUGGACGGGUAAAGUUGUGAAGCUUGUUGGCUGUUGUAAUGUAUUUUCUGAGAUCAUUGUCUUCAAAGGUGUAUGUAAAAUAUAUAUAUAUUCUCACUGCAUUUCAUCUUCUUUCAGGAAAUGCCACUCACGGCUUCCUGAAUUCUCCAAAGCAGCAUAUUGUAUGCAGGUCAUAGGUACUCUACGUUUAGUUUGAUUGUAACACACCUGUCGUCCCCAGGACAGACACCUUCCUUUUCUGUCGCCCGUCUCAUCUUUACUGAAGUCAAUUAUGACUAAAUAGUUUGUUGUACAGUUUUUUUUAUAAUGCUUGUGUAAACUGUACUACCGACUACCGCCUUGCUAGUACGGUUUAUAAUGAAUCGCUGUCCUGCUCAGUUAUGUUUUUAAAUAUGAAGUGACAUUUUAUUAAGAAGGAAAAUGAAUUGAUGGGCAUAUUGACUUCAUGUAUGUAUGAAUUGAUAUGAUUUGAGUUGAUAUAUUAUUGUAAAGUAUUAAUCUGUUUUUUUUUUCUCUGUUGGGAGUUAUACAGUAUACUGCAUGAUUAUAUAAAGUAUUAAUAAUCUCUGUUUUUGGAGGCAUAUAUUUAAUAUAUCUUCACAGUCCUCAUGUUCUUCUACAGUGGGUGUGCGUCCCAAAUGGCACCCUAUUUCCCUAUAUAGUGAGCCCAUAGAGCGCUGGUUAGAAGUAGUUCACUAUACAAGGGGAUAGGAGGCCAUUUUGGAUGUUUCCAAGGCUUCACUCUGUACCUACUUUCUUACUGCACAAUACAAAAUAUCUGUGGUGACAAUGUCUUGCUGUUGAUCAAUGACCUAUUUGUUAUUUUAUCAUCACGAUGUAUGUUUCUGUCAACUUGAAUCUCAAUAAACUACGGGAAUAAACGGAAUAGGUGAAGCAUCUUUCUGCUUUCCAUUAUAGGGGACAUUACACCCAUAGUGGAGUGAGUUUGAGCAAAGUGUUAUACAUUUUAUAAAGACGAAUCGUUAUUAUAAAAACUGGUUGUUAUGUAUCCUAAAUGCUGAUUGGAUGAGCAGCGGUCCAAAGCUGUGCUUUAUUGGCCGUCACAGACACACCUAUUCCUGCUAACAGGUCCAUCUGAAAAAUCACUGUGCCUUCCUUAAAAGGUACUGCAUGGUCCAUUUUUUUAUAUUUUUUAUUUCACCUUCAUUUAACCAGGUAGGCAAGUUGAGAACAAGUUCUCAUUUACAACUGCGACCUGGCCAAGAUAAAGCAAAGCAGUUCGACAACAUAUAACAACACAGAGUUAUACAUGG
rnacentral:lncRNA from 1 species